GACGAACGCUGGCGGCGUGCUUAACACAUGCAAGUCGAAGGGAGUGGCGAACGGGUGAGUAACACGUGAGUAACCUGCCCUUUUCUUUGGGAUAAGCCUGGGAAACUGGGUCUAAUACUGGAUGGAUUGGGAUGGGCUCGCGGCUUAUCAGCUUGUUGGUGGGGUGAUGGCUUACCAAGGCUUUGACGGGUAGCCGGCCUGAGAGGGUGGUCGGUCACACUGGGACUGAGAUACGGCCCAGACUCCUACGGGAGGCAGCAGUGGGGAAUAUUGCACAAUGGGCGGAAGCCUGAUGCAGCGACGCCGCGUGGGGGAUGACGGCCUUCGGGUUGUAAACUCCUUUCACCAUCGACGCGGUAGAUGGAGAAGAAGCACCGGCUAACUACGUGCCAGCAGCCGCGGUAAUUC
rnacentral:rRNA from 1 species